CCAAUAGCGUAUAUUAAAGUUGCUGCAGUUAAAAAGCUCGUAGUUGAAUUUCGGGAUCAAUAUGUUGGUCGUGCCUUGGUACGUACUAGCUUAUUGAUUUCUUCCUUCUGACGAACCAUGAUGUCAUUAAUUUGGUGUCAUGAGGAAUCAGGACUGUUACUUUGAAAAAAUUAGAGUGUUUAAAGCAGGCUCACGCUUGAAUACAUUAGCAUGGAAUAAUGAAAUAGGACGUUUGAUUCUAUUUUGUUGGUUUCUAGGAUCGACGUAAUGAUUAAGAGGGAUAGUUGGGGGCAUUAGUAUUCAAUUGUCAGAGGUGAAAUUCUUGGAUUUAUUGAAGACUAACUACUGCGAAAGCAUUUGCCAAGGAUGUUUUCAUUAAUCAAGAACGAAAGUUAGGGGAUCGAAGACGAUCAGAUACCGUCGUAGUCUUAACCAUAAACUAUGCCGACUAGGGAUCGGAUGAUGUUAAGUUUUUAAUGACUCAUUCGGCGCCUUACG
rnacentral:rRNA from 1 species